AUGCAUUUUCGAUAUAUUUUUCAUAUAUACAUAUAUAUAAUAUAUAUAAAUAUAUGAAAAAUUGAUGUGGGUACUCAAAUGAAAGGCCUCGAUGAGUGUAGCAUCGGGACGAGCUUAUAUCUUUAAAAAUGUCAAUAGUUCACAAGAUACAAGGUCAUUUCUUAAUUA